AACGAACGCUGGCGGCAGGCUUAACACAUGCAAGUCGAGCGCCCCGCAAGGGGCGCGGCCGACGGGUGAGUACCGCGUGGGAACGUACCUUUUGGUUCGGAACAACUCCGGGAAACUGGAGCUAAUACCGGAUAAGCCCUAACGGGGAAAGAUUUAUCGCCGAAAGAUCGGCCCGCGUCUGAUUAGCUAGUUGGUGAGGUAACGGCUCACCAAGGCGACGAUCAGUAGCUGGUCUGAGAGGAUGAUCAGCCACACUGGGACUGAGACACGGCCCAGAAUCCUACGGGAGGCAGGAAUGGGGGAUAUUGGAAAAUGGGCGCAAGCCUGAUCCAGCCAUGCCGCGUGAGUGAUGAAGGCCUUAGGGUUGUAAAGCUUUUUUGUCCGGGAAGAUAAUGACUGUACCGGAAGAAUAAGCCCCGGCUAACUUCGUG
rnacentral:rRNA from 1 species